UUUUCAGGCUAUGCUACUUGUACAUAUAAAAAAUAUAGGCAUUAAAUUUUUUUUUUUUUUGAGAGACAUGUAGCACGCUAUCAGCUUCGCUUGUUUCAUUUAGAAAUAAACUUAGCUGAAAAUGUGAAUCAAUUAGGAUUCGAACUUGGGUCUCGGGUACCAACCAUCAAAUCUUUUACCACUUGCUCUAAGGACGGUCGAUAUUCUUUAUAUUAUUACUACUAAAAUUAUCAUUCUGUAUUCUUCAUAUUAAUAUUUUUUUAAAAAAUUAUCUAAUCUGAAAUAGUUGACUAUAAAAUUUAC
rnacentral:lncRNA from 1 species